rnacentral:rRNA from 1 species
CUACGUGCCAGCAGCCGCGGUAAUACGGAAGGUCCAGGCGUUAUCCGGAUUUAUUGGGUUUAAAGGGAGUGUAGGCGGUCUGUUAAGCGUGUUGUGAAAUUUAGGUGCUCAACAUCUACCUUGCAGCGCGAACUGGCGGACUUGAGCGCACGCAACGUAUGCGGAAUUCAUGGUGUAGCGGUGAAAUGCUUAGAUAUCAUGACGAACUCCGAUUGCGAAGGCAGCGUACGGGAGUGUUACUGACGCUUAAGCUCGAAGGUGCGGGUAUCGAACAGGAUUAGAUACCCUGGUAGUCCGCACGGUAAACGAUGGAUGCCCGCUGUUAGCGCCUGGCGUUAGCGGCUAAGCGAAAGCAUUAAGCAUCCCACCUGGGGAGUACGCCGGCAACGGUGAAACUCAAAGGAAUUGACGGGGGCCCGCACAAGCGGAGGAACAUGUGGUUUAAUUCGAUGAUACGCGAGGAACCUUACCCGGGCU